GCAAGUCUGGUGCCAGCAGCCGCGGUAAUUCCAGCUCCAAUAGCGUAUAUUAAAGUUGUUGCAGUUAAAAAGCUCGUAGUUGAACCUUGGGUCUGUUUGGCCGGUCCGAUUUUUUCGUGUACUGGAAUCCCAAGCGGACCUUUCCUUCUGGCUAACCUUGGGUCCUUGUGGCUCUUGGCGAACCAGGAUUUUUACUUUGAAAAAAUUAGAGUGUUCAAAGCAGGCCUUUGCUCGAAUAUAUUAGCAUGGAAUAAUAGAAUAGGACGUUAUGGUUCUAUUUUGUUGGUCUCUAGGACCAUCGUAAUGAUUAAUAGGGACGGUCGGGGGCAUCAGUAUUCAGUUGUCAGAGGUGAAAUUCUUGGAUUACCUGAAGACUAACUACUGCGAAAGCAUUUGCCAAA
rnacentral:rRNA from 1 species